GACGAACGCUGGCGGCGUGCCUAAUACAUGCAAGUAGAACGCACAGUUUAUAUCGUAGCUUGCUACACCAUAGACUGUGAGUUGCGAACGGGUGAGUAACGCGUAGGUAACCUGCCUGGUAGCGGGGGAUAACUAUUGGAAACGAUAGCUAAUACCGCAUAAUAUUAAUUAUUGCAUGAUAAUUAAUUGAAAGGUGCAAUUGCACCACUACCAGAUGGACCUGCGUUGUAUUAGCUAGUAGGUGAGGUAACGGCUCACCUAGGCGACGAUACAUAGCCGACCUGAGAGGGUGAUCGGCCACACUGGGACUGAGACACGGCCCAGACUCCUACGGGAGGCAGCAGUAGGGAAUCUUCGACAAUGGACGAAAGUCUGACCGAGCAACGCCGCGUGAGUGAAGAAGGUUGUCGGAUCGUAAAGCUCGGUUGUAAGAGAAGAACGGGUGUGAGAGUGGAAAGUUCACACUGUGACGGUAGCUUACCAGAAAGGGACGGCUAACUACGUG
rnacentral:rRNA from 1 species